rnacentral:rRNA from 1 species
UGGGGAAUAUUGCACAAUGGGCGCAAGCCUGAUGCAGCAAUGCCGCGUGAGUGAAGACGGCCUUAGGGUUGUAAAACUCUUUCGCUAGGGAAGAUAAUGACGGUACCUAGUAAAGAAGUCCCGGCUAACUCCGUGCCAGCAGCCGCGGUAAUACGGAGGGGGUUAGCGUUGUCCGGAAUUAUUGGGCGUAAAGAGCUCGUAGGCGGUCCGUUGCGUCUGCCGUGAAAACCCGGAGCUCAACUCCGGGCCUGCGGUGGAUACGGGCGGACUAGAGUCCGGUAGGGGAGACUGGAAUUCCUGGUGUAGCGGUGGAAUGCGCAGAUAUCAGGAGGAACACCGGUGGCGAAGGCGGGUCUCUGGGCCGGAACUGACGCUGAGGAGCGAAAGCGUGGGGAGCGAACAGGAUUAGAUACCCUGGUAGUCCACGCCGUAAACGGUGGGCGCUAGGUGUGGGGAUCGUUUCCACGAUCUCCGUGCCGUAGCUAACGCAUUAAGCGCCCCGCCUGGGGAGUACGGCCGCAAGGCU